UACGAGGGGGCAAGCGUUGUUCGGAAUUAUUGGGCGUAAAGGGCGCGUAGGCGGUGCGGUAAGUCACCUGUGAAAUCUCUGGGCUCAACUCAGAGUCUGCAGGCGAAACUGCCGUGCUGGAGUAUGGGAGAGGUGCGUGGAAUUCCCGGUGUAGCGGUGAAAUGCGUAGAUAUCUGGAGGAACACCGGUGGCGAAGGCGGCAUCCUGGACCAACACUGACGCUGAGGAGCGAAAGCCAGGGGAGCAAAGCGGG
rnacentral:rRNA from 1 species